UGUGUGUGUGCGUGUGUGUGUGUGUGCGUAUUAGUUCACUUAAUUUCCAAUUGAAGUAUUUAAGUUAGCUCUGGCUACGUGCAUUAGAUACAUUGUGUAACGAAAAAAGAAUCCUGGGGCUGUGGUGGGAUUGAAAAAUGGUUUAAAGAUCACAGCAAGCUCAGCGUAUGACGUCAUGCCCACCGGAUGGUCCUUUUCAGACGGUUUGUGGAGUUAGCUGGGACACAGUCGCCUCUGAGCCAUGACUCUCUACAGCUCCUCACUGUCUUCCAUGUGUUACCUGGGUCAGGACAGAGAAGAAGUAAAGCCAUAUGAGACAGAUGAUUGGUGCUGCCAAAGCUUGAUCAACAGCUCCGAGGUGGACACUGCGGUCGAGGCGAGUAGGAA